GACGAACGCUGGCGGCGUGCUUAACACAUGCAAGUCGAACGGAAAGGCCCCUUUGGGGGUCCUCGAGUGGCGAACGGGUGAGUAACCCGUGAGUAACCUGCCCUUGACUUCGGGAUAACUUCAGGAAACUGGGGCUAAUACCGGAUAGGAAUCCUUGCUGCAUGGUGGGGGUUGGAAAGCUUCGGCGGUUUUGAAUGGACUCGCGGCUUAUCAGCUUGUUGGUGGGGUAGUGGCUUACCAAGGCUUUGACGGGUAGCCGGCCUGAGAGGGCGACCGGCCACAUUGGGACUGAGAUACGGCCCAGACUCCUACGGGAGGCAGCAGUGGGGAAUAUUGCACAAUGGGCGGAAGCCUGAUGCAGCAACGCCGCGUGCGGGAUGACGGCCUUCGGGUUGUAAACCGCUUUCAGCAGGGGCGAAGCUUGUGGUGACGGUACCUGCAGAAGAAGCACCGGCUAACUACGUG
rnacentral:rRNA from 1 species